rnacentral:misc_RNA from 1 species
AACCAUAGAAACCUGCGGAGUACCUGCGGAGGGAUCAUUAUAGUAUAUGGAAUCUCCAUUCUAUAAACCCACUCUGCGUAUCUUGUAACUGUUGCUUCCAUGGGACUUGGUUCCGCCACACCGGCUUCACGGCUGGUGAGCGCCCAUGGAAGGAGAAACAAAACUCCUCUUUGAAAUGUAGUCAGUCUGAACAAGUUUUUAUAAACGUUAAAACUUUUAACAAUGGAUCUCAGAUCGGAA